rnacentral:lncRNA from 1 species
AAAAAAAAAAAAAAAAAAAAAAAAAAAAAAAAAAAAAAAAAAAAAAAAAAAAAAAUCAAGCUAUCCUCCUGCCUCAGCCCCGCAAAGUGCUGAGAUUAUAAGCAUGAGCCACUGCACCCAGCCAGAAAUCAGAUCACUCCCCCCAGCACCCGGGCAAUCUGCAUUCACUCCCAAGCCCCACCCUGUGCUGAGAACUGGCUGGGUCCUCAGGAUGAAGCGGCGAACAAAGCCAAGUCCUUGUCUUCGUGCAGCACGAUUCGAGCCAAGGAGACAGACAAUGAAAAGUACAUCCUUAGGUCAGGCAGUCACAAAUGUUUUCAAAAAAAAAAUGAAGCAGAGUUUGGGGAUAGAGUGUGACAGAGUACAUCUUUAGAUGUAUGGUUA